GGAAUCAUGGCCGCCAUCUUGUUUUGGCGAUUUGGACAAAAGAUGACACUUGAAAGUCAAGAUAAAAAAAGGAUAUCAAGUAUUUGGCGACGACGGAUAUAUAAGUUAAUGUAUACCUUUCGAAGACGAGGCUGAAUAACAGGGACGAUUGCGCCGAUGGAUAAACAUGUUGUUGUGCUGAUUUCCUUGAAGAAUCUUCAAAUGAACUUGUAGAAUAACAAGGUGUAAUAUUUUUCGGGUAUCCAUCAAAUCGCACGCUCCGAUAGGCUCUAGUGAGGUACGCGAUACCGGACCACACCCUCAAGAGACUCUUGUGCAGUUAAAGAACAUUGCUUCUUCUAGGCCUCGAAUCGCGUAAUAAAAACAACACAAAUUGAUUAAUAAUAAAUGGAAACAUCUAGUCUAA